UCCGAUAUAGUGUAGGGGCUAUCACAUCACGCUCUCAGGUUGAGAACCGUGGAGACCGGGGUUCGAUUCCCCGUAUCGGAG
rnacentral:tRNA from 2 species